UACGUAGGGGGCAAGCGUUGUCCGGAUUUAUUGGGCGUAAAGAGCGUGUAGGCGGCCAUGCAGGUCCGUUGUGAAAACUCGAGGCUCAACCUCGAGACGCCGGUGGAAACCGUGUGGCUAGAGUCCGGAAGAGGAGAGUGGAAUUCCUGGUGUAGCGGUGAAAUGCGCAGAUAUCAGGAGGAACACCGGUGGCGAAGGCGGAUCUCUGGGCCUGUCCUGACGCUGAGGCGCGAAAGCUAGGGGAGCGAACAGG
rnacentral:rRNA from 1 species